rnacentral:rRNA from 1 species
AACGAACGCUGGCGGCAGGCCUAACACAUGCAAGUCGAACGAGAUGCGGUUUUCGGAUCGUUAUCUAGUGGCGGACGGGUGCGUAACACGUGGGAAUCUACCUUAUAGUGGGGGAUAACUUCUGGAAACGGGAGCUAAUACCGCAUACGCCCUUCGGGGGAAAGAUUUAUCGCUAUAAGAUGAGCCCGCGGUGGAUUAGGUAGUUGGUGAGGUAAGAGCUCACCAAGCCGAUGAUCCAUAGCUGGUUUGAGAGGAUGACCAGCCACACUGGGACUGAGACACGGCCCAG